rnacentral:tRNA from 1 species
AAGGGAAGAAGCAUAAGAGGAUAUGUAGUUGGCUUGAAACUAGCUGUAGGUGGUUCGAGUCCCCCCUUCCUUG